rnacentral:rRNA from 1 species
UACAGAGGGGGCAAGCGUUGUUCGGAAUUACUGGGCGUAAAGGGCGCGUAGGCGGCCUUCUAAGUCAGACGUGAAAUCUCCGGGCUUAACCCGGAAAGGUCAGCCGAUACUGCGGGGCUAGAGUGCAGAAGGGGCAACUGGAAUUCUCGGUGUAGCGGUGAAAUGCGUAGAUAUCGAGAGGAACACCUGCGGCGAAGGCGGGUUGCUGGGCUGACACUGACGCUGAGGCGCGAAAGCUAGGGGAGCGAACGGG